UGGGGAAUAUUGGACAAUGGGCGCAAGCCUGAUCCAGCCAUGCCGCGUGAGUGACGAAGGCCUUAGGGUUGUAAAGCUCUUUUGGCGGGGAAGAUAAUGACGGUACCCGCAGAAUAAGCUCCGGCUAACUUCGUGCCAGCAGCCGCGGUAAUACGAAGGGGGCUAGCGUUGUUCGGAAUUACUGGGCGUAAAGCGCACGUAGGCGGAUUGUUAAGUCAGAGGUGAAAUCCCGGAGCUCAACUUCGGAACUGCCUUUGAUACUGGCAAUCUAGAGUCCGGAAGAGGUUAGUGGAAUUCCCAGUGUAGAGGUGAAAUGCGUAGAGAUCCGGAGGAACACCAGUGGCGAAGGCGACACGCUGGGCCGCACCUGACGCUAAGACGCGACAGCAUGGGGAGCGAACAGGAUUAGAUACCCUCGUAGUCCCUGAGCGGGCUGGCAAGGCGCAU
rnacentral:rRNA from 1 species